rnacentral:rRNA from 1 species
UGGGGAAUUUUGGACAAUGGGCGAAAGCCUGAUCCAGCAAUGCCGCGUGUGUGAAGAAGGCCUUCGGGUUGUAAAGCACUUUUGUCCGGAAAGAAAUCCUUGGCUCUAAUACAGUCGGGGGAUGACGGUACCGGAAGAAUAAGCACCGGCUAACUACGUGCCAGCAGCCGCGGUAAUACGUAGGGUGCAAGCGUUAAUCGGAAUUACUGGGCGUAAAGCGUGCGCAGGCGGUUUGCUAAGACCGAUGUGAAAUCCCCGGGCUCAACCUGGGAACUGCAUUGGUGACUGGCAGGCUAGAGUAUGGCAGAGGGGGGUAGAAUUCCACGUGUAGCAGUGAAAUGCGUAGAGAUGUGGAGGAAUACCGAUGGCGAAGGCAGCCCCCUGGGCCAAUACUGACGCUCAUGCACGAAAGCGUGGGGAGCAAACGGGAUUAGAUACCCUGGUAGUCCACGCCCUAAAGCGAUGUCAACUAGUUGUUGGGGAUUCAUUUUCCUUAGUAACGUAGCUAACGCGUGAAGUUGACCGCCUGGGGAGUACGGUCGCAAGAUUAAAACUCAAUGAAUUGACGGGGUCAUAGCUGUUUCCUG